GCGGGAGUAGCUCAGCUGGUAGAGCGUCAGCUUCCCAAGCUGAAGGUCGCGGGUUCGAAACCCGUCUCCCGCU
rnacentral:tRNA from 2 species